CCUCCGCAUACCAGGCAGAUUUUGGGGAGACGCCAAGGUGAGCUUCCCUCCGCUCUUGAUCUCUUUCUCUACACAUACAUCUAUGCACUCCUGAUCUCUUUCAAUCUACACGCACAUCUGCAAGAUUUGUGUAACCUAAAUUCCUCUGUACCAUGUAUGCCGGCCCAACCUAAUGCAUACCAUCUGCCUCAUGAAUGGAUAAAUGAUUUAUUUUUGUCGCCACAUAAACCAUUGACUGGUGUGCAGGAGGCCUUCUAAUUGGUGCUUUGUGUGUGCUUUUGAAGUUUAGGCAGAUGUUGGCACUAGUUAAGUUGCAACCAAUACUUUCUACACAUGCAUAUCUAGAGAUAGAGCAGCGGAAAUAGUACAACAUGCAAGUGUGCGGAAAGUAAAGGGGUAGAGAUGGGAAGAUCAAAUGCAAUGAAGACAUAGUGAUUUUUGGCGUGGUACCUCCACGUUGAUGGAGACUUCAAGCCAUGCAGGGUAAUGGCUUCGUGAGUCCAUGGAGGGCUCCACCGACGAAGGGUCUAUGAAGAAGCAACCUUGUCUAUUCCACCAUGGCUUACGUCCAUAAAGGACUAGCCUCACUUGGGGUAGAUCUUCACUAAGUAGGCAAUUUCCUAGCCCUUGCAAACUCCUUGGUUCAACUCCAUAUGAUCUUGGAGGCUCCCAAGUGACACCUAACCAAUCUAGGAGACACUACUCUCCAAAAGGUAAUAGAUGGUGUAUGAUGAUGAACUCCUUGCUCUUGUGCUUCAAAAGAUAGUCUCCUCAACACUCAAUCACUCUCUCAUAGAUUUGGCUUGGAUAGAAGGAGGAUUGGAGUGGAAGGAAACUCGAGGAGGCUAGAGAUCAAGGUUCAAACGGUUGGAUUGGAAUCUCUUGAUCUGAAGACAUUAGUAGCUGCUUCUCUCUUAGAAAAUGAAUGGUGGAAGUGUAGUUUCAUUCUCAUGGCUCUCACAAAGAGUAAGUGGGGGUGAAGGGGUAUAAAUAUCCUUCACCAAGAAUCCAACCGUUUGACACAACUCGGUGGCACCAAAAUGAAAAUCUCGUGAGAAAAGAUUCGAACAUUAGGAUUCUCGGUGAGACCAAACGAAUCUACUCGGUCACUCCGAUAUAUGAUGACCUAAGCAAGACCUCAUUUAGGUAAUUCCAAUCAAACCAACUCGGUUAUUCCGAAAUGGAAUGGAAGGGUUACAGAAACUUGGCCAGUGCAAAUCGGUGGGACCGAUCAUCAUCUCAAUGGAACCGAGUUUCUUGGAUUUGGCUAGUGGCUCUAUAUGAAGUAACUCGGUGGGUCUGAAGGUAUAGGAUUGAUGGGACCGAGUCUAGAAGUUAGGGUUUUGGACAAAUAGGAUUCGGAGAAAAUGGUUGAGGGUUUGGAGGAAUAUCUUCAAGCACUUGAGCAAAUAACACUACUAGGGAAAACCCUAGCAGUAGCGCGGGGUUUUGGCAUAUCAGUAGCGUGCCCACAACGCUACAACUAACUCUUAGAAGUAGCAUUGUCCCCACCAUGCUACUGCUACUGUAGUUUAGCAGCAGCGUGUUUCUGAGAACCUCACUACUGCUAAAAGCUGCAAUGCGCCUUUCUACCACGCGCUUCUACUAACGCGACACUGCUGCUACACACAAACCCAGCGCUACUAUUACUAUUUUCUGUAUUUUUUCUGCAGUGUUUUUACUCUGUUUUAAUAGGUUUUAUACAAUAGCCUCUGUCAUAUCAUUCUAAACUAUAAGGACCCUAGCCAACUUGGCUCCAGGAGUCUCCCCCGAUUGGACCUUCACUGACCGUUCGAUCUGCCUUUCUGGGGCAUCUAAGUCGUUUGAUCUUCACAACAGUAAAACCCAAUUUUCAUCUCGUGGUAGUUUUGGUUGGCCAAUGACGAGUGGGAUCAUCUCGCGCUCUCGUUGGCUAGGUCAGCUGUGGCCGUGUGCAGGAGGUUUUGGCCAGUCUGCUCCGCGCUUCCAGAGCCAAUCCGCCUCGUCCCACUCCCGCAUCUUAGCCAUCACACAUACCCUAGCCCCGUUUUCCCUCGAUCCAAGUCCCACAGCUUCCCGCCUCGGCCCUGCAGCCUCGCCGCCUCCUGCUAUUCCACCUCCACCAUGCUAGCCCCUCUACCUCGCCUUCCUUCUCUGCAUUGUCAAUGCGGCCGUCAUCGACCCCUGGUUCUAGAUCGGCGCAGGUUAGGCGAACCCGGUGGUGGGGUGAAGUGGCAGGGGAGGCGGGCGACGAGGGCAUCGGCCCGUCGCGAUUUGCUGAGGCUACAGGGAAGUGGGAGGAGGUGUGCGACAUGGUGAAGGAGCAGGCCUGCCCUCCUAGAAGCGCCGCUGCCGCUCAGCCAGGAAGGAGGCCAGGCUCGCCUCGUGCCGUGAGCGGCGGCGACGCCUAUGCCUCCACCCCACCUUAUUUUCCAUGCCUCUUCCUCAUAGCAGGCAAAUUUUGGGGAGACGCCAAGGUGAGCUUCCCUCCGCUCCUGAUCUCUUUCUCUACACAUACAUCUAUGCACUCCUGAUCUCUUUCUCUCUACACGCACAUCUGCGAGAUUUGUGUAGCCUAAAUUCUUGUGUACCAUGUAUGCCGGCCCAACCUAAUGCAUACCAUCUGCCUCACGAAUGGCUAAAUGAUUUAUUUUUGUCACCAUAUAGACCAUUGACUGGUGUGAAGGAGCCCUUCUAAUUGGUGCUCUAUGCGUGCUUUUGUUUUGUUGUAGAAUAAUAAUUCAAGUGCACCCGCAAAAAAAAUCAAGUGGAUGGCCGAUGCGCCUUGUUAUUUAGCGGUAUGAUGAUGGGCUGCUAAUUUUUGUUGUCCACUUCUACUAAUUUCUACCGACUUCCGCUUAAUUUGAUAUCUGAUGUAUAAGUAAUGCACUAAUAUACAGUACAUGAAAAAAUGACCCCGUCUUGCAUGUCAAAAGUAUGGUUUUGGUACAGAUUUGUUGUGUAUGCAUGGUAGAUCUUUCUAGGUUUUACUUUCUUAUUCUUCAACCAUAAUUCAGUUCAUGACACCAAGGUGCAACUACACCAAAGUGCAGACAUUAAAACAGUUUAGAACAGAACAAUUAGAUGCUUUUAGUUCUGACUGCAUGGAUGCUUUGGUCAAUGUUUAGAAAUGCAUUGUCCAUAUAGUUAUGUUAACAUAUUUGCUAGAGGGAACAGAAUGGUCUCUGAGUCGUUCAAAACUGAAGGCAGCACCAAGGUAUCACAUUUGCUACUUUGUAAAAUCAUGCAUAUGUAGGAGCUCAUCAGUCUGGCGACCUAAAUUGCUCCCCAACUUAUCUCUUUUUGUUUAGUCCAUAAUUUCAGGUUUCCUGUGGUUUCUGUUGCCAAGGUUUGAUCUUUAUUUUCAUGUUGUGUAGAUGAUUGCAGCUAAUGCCGAGCCUCUCGAGAGAGCCUCCUCCAACUUCCCCUCCUCACCAAGGAUGAGGACAUGAGGUAGUAAUUGUAGUAUGCAGAAUUACCUACAACUUGAGUAUAUACACGUUAUCCACUUCAUAUUAUUUCCAAUGGUUUUACUUCCACAUCACAUGUUUAUUUAUAUUAAAUCACAAGAACUUCAUGAGCUUGCUUGGUCACCAUGGAGAAGGGCAUUUUUUCAUGGAGCUGUAGAUUUUUUGAAUAUGCUCCCUGUUGGACACUUUUUUGGGUAUGUACAGGAUUUUUUGAGAAUAGGUGUGAAAAAAUUGACCAUCUGGUGGAUUUAUAUGACGGUAUGUUUAGUAGAUAAGUAGAUAAAUAAUGGAACUGCUUUAUUCCUUGUUGUGUACAUUUUUAGAACAUUAUCCUUUUUUGUGUACUGAUUGAAUGAUCUGCUCACACCAUGCAGGUACUCAUACAUAGUGAAAGCAGAGGCCAAAAGGUUUUGAUUUAGAUGAUUUAGUGGUGCCUUGUCAAUCUUCUUACCUCUAGGUCAAAAUUAAGCAGACGAUUUCUUGCUGAAGGACAUGCUCUUAUUCUCUGAGAUGGACAAUGAUGUGUGGUACAACCCAAAAAUCAGAGCUGGGCUUUACACACUUCAGUGGGCAAGUGAAGUCCCAGUUUUUCUUCUUUCCCCCGUUACUUCUCUGUUGUAUAGAGAGCAAUGCGUUUAUAUUAGCUGAAUGUUAGAUUGGAAUGCAGGUACUAGCAUCACAACACUAGGGUGGAGACCUGAAGCGAAGCAGAGGGGCGAACCAAGGAAAUCAGAGUCACGCUAUUUCUAUAUCCUAAUUCUACGCUCUUAUAUUUUUUUACACAUUUACAAUCUUGUGUUUUGAAUAAUUCUUGUGGCUUGACAAGACAGAGUGGAGGAUCAAGGAAUGAAGUCAGAACAAUUUUCUAAUUAAAUAUAUCCAAAGGUUGAUAAUAGGUCGUGUCAAGAUGAGUGCACGAGAAGGAUAGUGAAAAAAAAGGUGAGAAGGGUUCUGAGUAUUCUUUCCUCACUUUUCA
rnacentral:lncRNA from 1 species